rnacentral:rRNA from 1 species
GAUGAACGCUGGCGGCGUGCCUAAUACAUGCAAGUCGAGCGAACAGACGAGGAGCUUGCUCCUCUGACGUUAGCGGCGGACGGGUGAGUAACACGUGGAUAACCUACCUAUAAGACUGGGAUAACUUCGGGAAACCGGAGCUAAUACCGGAUAAUAUAUUGAACCGCAUGGUUCAAUAGUGAAAUACGGUUUUGCUGUCACUUAUCGAUGGAUCUCCGCCGCAUUAGCUAGUUGGUAAGGUAACGGCUUAUCAAGGCAACUAUGCGUAGCCGACCUGAGAGGGUGAUCGGCCACACUGGAACUGAGACACGCUCCAGACUCCUACGGGAGGCAGCAGUAGGGAAUCUUCCGCAAUGGUCGAAAGCCUGACGGAGCAACGCCGCGUGAGUGAUGAAAGUCUUCGGAUCGUAAAACUCUGUUAUUAGUGAAGAACAAAUGUGUAAGUAACUAUGCACGUCUUGACGGUACCGAAUCAGAAAGCCACGGCUAACUACGUG